rnacentral:rRNA from 1 species
UACGUAGGGGGCAAGCGUUGUCCGGAUUUAUUGGGCGUAAAGAGCGUGUAGGCGGCCAGGUAGGUCAGCUGUGAAAACUCGAGGCUUAACCUCGAGACGCCGGCUGAAACCCUCUGGCUAGAGUCCGGAAGAGGAGAGCGGAAUUCCUGGUGUAGCGGUGGAAUGCGCAGAUAUCAGGAGGAACACCAGUAGCGAAGGCGGCACUCUGGGCCGGUACUGACGCUGAGGAGCGAAAGCCAGGGGAGCAAACGGG